rnacentral:rRNA from 1 species
CCUACGGGGGCAGCAGUGGGGAAUAUUGGACAAUGGGGGGAACCCUGAUCCAGCCAUGCCGCGUGUGUGAAGAAGGCCCUCGGGUUGUAAAGCACUUUCAGUGAGGAAGAACGCCUGGUGGUUAAUACCCAUCAGGAAAGACAUCACUCACAGAAGAAGCACCGGCUAACUCCGUGCCAGCAGCCGCGGUAAUACGGAGGGUGCGAGCGUUAAUCGGAAUUACUGGGCGUAAAGCGCGCGUAGGUGGCUUGAUAAGCCGGUUGUGAAAGCCCCGGGCUCAACCUGGGAACGGCAUCCGGAACUGUCAAGCUAGAGUGCAGGAGAGGAAGGUAGAAUUCCCGGUGUAGCGGUGAAAUGCGUAGAGAUCGGGAGGAAUACCAGUGGCGAAGGCGGCCUUCUGGACUGACACUGACACUGAGGUGCGAAAGCGUGGGUAGCAAACAGGAUUAGAUACCCGAGUAGUC